UUAAAGGAAAAGGAGAUGAUCGUGUCACUAGCCUGCCCGCGGGGGCGCCCCCAGCCCCGGCCCCGAUGCUUGCCUAGGACCCCCGCCCAAGUCCAGCCACCCAGAGCCGGCCCUCAGCCUCCGCCCCGUGCGCUCACGCAGGGGAGCGGGGCCCGCCCAGCAGAGCCCGUCCGGGGGAGCCCGCAACCCCCACCCAACCCUCCUUCCCUACCCGGGCUUGUCCCGGGGCCGCUCCCGACUGCCCCUCCCGGCCCGCACUCCUCUCCACCCGCCGCGUGCAAAGCCUCAGAGCGCUCCCCAGCUCGGGAUGGUGCCCCUACAAAGAUCCCAGGGCCCCGGGGCGCACCAGAGAGAGGAGGCACGGGCUACCAUGGGUGUGGGCCCUGGGGCUCUUCUCCUGGGACCCUCCGUGGCUACUUCUCUCUGGUUUUUUUCCCCUAGGCAAACUUUCCCAGGCGUGUUUCGGGGGCCAGCAUAGGAGGGGGCACCUUCAAGUUUCCUUUACUGACUUUGGGAUGAUCACAGUCUCAGCACCCCGCGUCUUGCCCCCUUAGGCUCCUGGCCGCGCCCCCCACCCAUGGCGACAGCGGGUUUCAAGGCGGGACGGGGGCGGCAAAAGAAACUCGGACUCCCCUGCCCAUCCCCCGCCGGGGCGCGUCCUAGACAGGGGACCACCCCAGCCGCGCCGGGUUUAGGGGCAGUUCUGGAUGAAGGGGGAUUGAUUAUUGAUUGGGUGAUUGGGGUUGCAGAGGCUCCAGGCGGACCCGGCCGAUGCGCCUAGGGAAGGAGGCAGCUGGCGGGGUUGCGUUGGCGACAGGGCAACGAGGGCUCACUUACUCUGGUGGUGAGGGCGCCGGUAGGCUGGAAUUCACGCGGGCGACCCUCGGGCGGCGGCGGUGGAGCGGCAGCCAGAGCCCGAGCGGCGCGGGCGGCGGCGCAUCGAUGCGCUGCGGGCUCGAUUGCGUCUCCCUGGGCCAGCUCUUAGGCCGAGAAUGGGGCGGCCGUGGCGCAGCGGGCUCAGGGCGCUGCUGGGCGGUGGUGGCUAGGGUGGCCUCUGGGCCCCCAGCUCCCCGGAACUGCAAUGUGUCUGGGAGCGCUGGCCGGGACCCUGGCACCCAUGCGAGCCCCGAGGCCCACAGUCCACCCGAGGGCCCGCGCCCUGCGCCCCAGGACUAGCCGCCUGAGCGCACUGGAAGCUGCAAGCCCUGGCCUUGCUUUCUGCUACUUCUUCUUCUUCUUCUUCUUCUUCUUCUUCUUCUUCUUCUUCUUCUUCUUCUUCUUCUUCUUCUUCUUCUUCUUCUUCUUCUUCUUCUUCUUCUUCUCCUUCUUCUUCUUCUUCUUCUUCUUCUUCUUCUUCUUCUUCUUCUUCUUCUUCUUCUUUUCUUAUUAUUUUGAACUUAUUCUUCUCUUCCCUCCUCUUCAGCUCUGUCUCUUUUCCAUGCUUUCUUGUGGUUGCUUUUUCAAGUUUUGAAAGUUCACAGCGUGCUUUCUUUUUCUUGUAGACCUGGAGACCAAGAUCUCACCCUACCGGUAAGAUCAAAAGUCUCCGCUAGCCACCGACCGGCGGGCUUGGGCUGGGUCCAGACGCCUGCCUGAAUGCAGAAGUGCGGCUGCUGCCCUCCGGGGCUAUAAAGCCCGCUCCAAUGCCUAGUCGCGCCGGAGCUCUCUGAGUUAAACUGGCCGGGGAGACGCGGCCCCAAGGGCGCGUAACGCUUCUUGCGAGCGAGGGAUCGGUGAGUCGACUGGCCCCGCCGUUGGCCUCACGGUUCAGUUGGCCACGGGGCCCCUUUUGCCUGGAGGAGGGUCGUUGCCGCUGGAGGUCAGACCCCGAAGGUCCCCAGCUCACGUUCCAAGAGCGGAGCACCCAUUUAGGCACGCCGGCGGCGACGUGCUUACAGCACUGGGUAACACGCACCGGGAGUUUGCCCAAAGGAUGCUUCCCUCUCCCUUUCCUUCCCUUUGCUGCUCUCUCAACCUUCGUUCCUUCACCGUGCACCCCCUCCCCGUGCCGCGGCCUAAGGGCUGGUCCCCUUGUUGACUGCCGGCCCCCUUGCUUGCCAGUGCCUAGCCCUCCCUGCUCAGGAACGGCGCGCUGUGUGAUCCGCCCUAACAUCUGUCCGUCCAACCAUUGGCGCAUCCAUCAGUGUCAAUGGGCUGCACAUUGCAGCGACAGCCUGUCACGCACAACUCGGGCUGUGCGGAGUGCACACUGAGACCACACUGCCUUGCCCGGUGGGGCACUCAGACAGACUCGGCCGGCUUGGCAUUGACUGGAUUCUUGAUUGCUGCUGAGUUCUUUUAGCUACAUGCACCUAUUCACCCUUAAUUUGGGGAUCUCAACACAUGCAUAGUUUUUCAGGUCAUUCUAGGGAUGAAAGUGAGGAAAGUGCGCAAGGUCAACCUAGUCCUUAUAUUUCACUAGGGUUUAUCUUCGCUUCUGCGGCAGCGCUGGGUGUAACUAAAAGAGAAAAGUUCUCCAAAUUCGCACAAAAUAGACCCUGAAACUACCUGAAUGCGGGACCUUAAGUCCCUCAACCUGGGCUAGGUGCUAGGUUAUGGAGUUCACCCACUGCACUUAGCAAGAUUUCAAAAGGGGGUGGGGACAGCUUUGCGUAACCGGGGCUGACUGCUGGCUGCUUCCCAGGGCCUGACCGGGAGAAAUGCAGACCGAUGGACUCAGUGAAAACUGAAGGGUUCCAUUUAGGGAGAAAUGGCGUCUGGGUAGCAGUGAGUCUGUAAUUCAUUUAUCAUUACCAAAAAAAAGGGCAAGACCUUGAGAAACCGGCGCUUGCAGAUAGUUUCUGGCUACCUGGGCUACAGUUUCGAGUUCUCCCUAUUGUACUUCUUUGCUUUCCGCUCCUUCUGCAACUACCCAAAUGGUAAACACACACACACACACACACACACACACACACACACACACACACACACACACACACACACACACACAGGUGUCCCUGAUGAGUCUGGCCCUCCCCAAGGCCUUCUGUUUGCUCUAAGAACCUCAGGGGAAGGGCAUGUGCAGGUUUCUACUCCUAUGACAUCUGAAUGAAGUCUACCCGGCAUUUAACCUGACUUUAUUAUUAUUGUAAAUAUUUCUGUCGACUGUCCUGCCGGCAAACAACCCUUCCGGCAGUUCAUAUCGCGGUUAGGGAAUUCCGAGGGGGAAAGAGCCCCGUUCAGGCUAGCGCUGUUUGCUGGGUUCUGGAAAAGGUCAGGAAGCAUUGGGCAGGCAUGCUCGGGAAAGUAGCCUGUGCAGCAGGGUCUAGGCUCCACACACAGCGGUCCAGCUGUUUUCACACUCUACUAGAGGGCAGAAAAGCCCGUGGGUGGAGGAGAUAGAAUUUUGUAAAGGAUAUACGAUGUAUAAAACGUUUACCCGAUUCUUCAUAGAAACUCGGUUAUCUUUUAAAAGCACAACAGGCUUUCAGUCACCUAGGAACUUCUGAUCCGCUUUGAAUUGUGCUGGGUUGUAAGUGUCUAAAUCAGAUACUUCUACCUCGAGGUGCGGAGUUUCCGGGAAUAAUUUCUUAAGCCCCUGAAAUAGAAGGAGGAAGAAGGAGCUGAAGGAAGUGAACCAAUUCACCUAAACACCCAGUGGCAAAAGCCCAUGAAACUGUGAGCUGGCAUCUGGGUCAGAGACUUGCCUUGGAAUUAGGUGGUCAUAUAUAUUAUUAGCCCUUCCCACUCCCUGCAGCCAAGAAGGCAAUCCUGAUCACCAAGACUGUAUUUCAGACUCAGUGGAAACCAGGUGCUCCACUGUCUCCAGAUGGGCAACAAUCUGCAGAAACCUUCCAAAGAGAGUUGUCUAGGUCAAGGGUUAGACAUCCUACCCAGCUUUUCCAAUUUUUGAGCCUUGGAUUUCCGUUCCUGGGACCUUUUUACCAUAGGUCUCACCCACCUUGGCUAGCCUGAGCCUCCUUGAGGGUAGGGUAUUAUCAAUUACAGGCAUGGCUCAAAACAAGUGUUUGGAGGAGCAAGGGGCUGACCCCCAGCACAGUAUACUGUUUAUAAUUAUACCGUGGAAAGUAGUAGCUUGGCCACUGCCUGGAGACAGCCAAGUUUGUGUUCCAGGUGGCCACUGAGGACAGUUAGAUGACAGCCCCCCUGCUCCAGCAAAAGCUAGGGUGUGUCUUCAGUGGAGUGCCCACCAAGAGGUGUCCUGCAUACCACCAUUCUAGGGAAGGAGCUAGGAUUGACUGGUGUCCCUGAAACACCUAGAGCCUAAACUCUGACCUCAGAAGGGGGGUACUUGCUGGGUCCAUGAAAGUGUCACCUUGAAGGACAAGGACUCUGGAAGCAUUUGGUGAUGGCAUGGGCCUUUGGCAACACCCCAGGGGUGGGCCUUGACCCAGAGUCCAGCACUAGGUCCUCUCCAGCCUGAAGUGGUUGGGAAGCCUCAUGGACCUGCUUUUCCCCUCACUUUUCUGGGUUAGGCAGUGAUUGGGAAGUGCCAUAGGUCCUGAGACUCCUACUGCUUACACACCUCAGCCUGGAAACUGGGCUUUAGUCUCUGAUAAAGUUGGAGGUUAGGGCCUGAGGCAGGCAGUAAAUUGUUUGCUAAAGGUACUUUUACACAGCAGUGAAGUUUGCUUCUCUUUUUCCAGUAGCUUUGUUUUAAGAAACCAGAUGUUUUGUCUGUGAAUUCUCUCAAGAACUUUUACAGUUUGGACAUGAAAUAAACCUUUGAAAAUUGGGGCGGUAUAUUAAUGCCACUUCUCUCAGGCUUCUGGAGAGUGGUGUCAGAUGCAUUGGGGAAGAAAUUAAGGGUGGGGGGUGGCAAUCUUGGGAGAAAAGUAAGAGAAUGGUUUUAUGCAAAAUCAAGAAUUAGUUUGGGAAGUGCGAAGCACUUACUUUCCAGAGCCAACAGUAGUGGUAUACACUGUACUCACACGUGCAGGCACACUCCCCAACCCCGUCAUGGUAUGGUGUCUAGUUUGCAAAUGUCUUAUGUCUUGGGACUCGGAGGUAAAGGCUCAGCUGCACCUACAUGGCCAAUGCAAAUCUGCAGGUUUUCAGCUGAACUUCUUGACUUGAAGAACAAAGGGCUGAUGAGCUUCCAUCUCCUGUAGCCUUGAUGCUGGUGACCAGUCCAGCUGCGGAUGGGAUGCAGAUGGGGCAGGUUGGAAGCAUGUUGACUAGAGGAGGAGUUCGGUUACAAAUUCCAGGGAUGACGCCUCCCCACCCCAAGAAAGCUUGUGCCUGCAGGUUUCUCUUCUAGUUGCUUCAUCCCCAUUCCCCAUCCUUGAUUCCCAGGCAGUUAGCAAAGCAUUUAAAGAAAAGCAAAACAAAAACUAAACCUAACUUAGCAGCGGAACAGAAGGUGAAUGAUUAGGGUGGUAAAGGGUCUGGGCUUAUGCAGGCAGCCUAGUUACCCACAGUGCCUGUGGGGGGGGGGGUUGGGGGGGAGGCGAUUCCUUCUCCCUCCUCCCCACCCUACCGUCCUUCCUGCAUACUCAGCAGGGCAUUUUCAGACACCUCCUUUUUCUUCCGAAAUGCUUUUUCAUUCGUUUACCAAAGUUUCAGAAAACUUUUUGGAGACCAAAAAUUAAAUAAAGAAAACAAAAGGUCUUUGUAUUUCCGUCUAAAGAGGACAGAACUGCAUUAAGCCCAUUUGAAGAGCAGUUACCAGUAAAAUGCCCUUCGGUCAGGUCCCACCUGCGGACUUGGGUUCUAAGGUGGAAUUUGCCCGAAUCUCUCCUACGUCAUUGCAAGCUCCCUCUCCAACUCCACUGGGUGAAAUAGAUUUCUAGAAACUGUUUGGACAUUUUAAAAACCAACAAAACCCAUGUUAAAGAUCGCCGUCGCCAGCCACAGUGGGACUCGCUCCUAGCUAGGAGUGAAUAGCUCCUUGAUGAUGGUGUUGCGGAGAUGCCCACCUGCUCCCGCGCUGCGGUGAGAGCUCCCGGAUGUUAGUGACUUGAUGCUGGUCUGAACCCCGGCUCUUCGAAUAAAGGAGGAAGAGGUCCCAGCAGUCAAAACACCCGGUCAUCGAGGACCAAACAGCCCACCUUCCUUCCAGAUGAUCUCAUUAACUGGCCAGGGAAUUUACCAGACCACGAGGAAUCUCGUUCCCUUUUCUCUCUUCCUACAGCGCUCCUCUUUUCUGUUUAAUUCGUGAUGAUGUCUGACUGUUUCCACUUCCCAAACGGGGAAGACCAAACAUAGCACUGAAUAAAGGCAGGUAAAGCGGGGCAAGGGGCUCUAUUCUUUUCUCCUUUAUAUGUCUUGAAACUUGAUAAAUAUCACUUGUAUUUGGACGAUAGGGGGCCGGAGGGUCAGAUUAUGUAAUAUUCAAGUGGUGUCUGGCCCCAGGGGCUCUUCCGUCUAGAAGAUCUAAAGAUCUACUCACACCCUUCACAGAAACCCUUACUAAAUUUUGUCUGCUGUUUUCUGUCUUCUGUCUCUUGUAUUUUCCUCCUCCUUUCUCCUUUUCUGUUUUUCUGUUCUGUUCUCUCUUUCGGAGAGCCCUUCCUGGACCGUCAUAAGAAUUCUCAGGUUAUUCAUUUAGGGUCUGUGAGUUCUUCUCCCCAAGUCAAAGCUUAGCUGUCCCCACCCAGUGCACCAGUUCUGAAGGAACUAACUAGUUUGUAGCUUUUGGGGUGGGGGUGGGGGGACUAGAGGAAGGUCAGACACUGGUCGACACCUGGUAUAAAAUAAAAGAACAUGUUAAGAAGUUUCAAAGCUGCCAAUAAAACCCUUUAAGUGGCUUGUGAUGCAGUGCCUGGAGUUGCUGCGAUGGCAUUGGUAAAUGACUCUAAUGUCCAAAGAAAAACAUUACAAAUGCCGCUGUCUGCGCCACCAAUCGGGCGCCGCUCUCCAGCGCGGGCGGUGGCUCCUCUCUGGCUCGGAGGGCACCCGCAUUUGCAUGAUAAAUUGACCAGACUGGCGGCAGCCAAUGAAAUAUUCAAAUUAGGCGCGCGGGGGGUGGGAGUAUGGCAAAGUCCCUGGGGCUCCCCCUUUGAGCAGACAGCAGAAGCUGGCCUUGCCACCUCUCCUUUAGCGCCCUCCAGAGGCGGGACAAAGCGUGGCCCUUCUGGGACAGGAGGGUGGGAGGGUCUCGGGGAAGGGAGGUGGUACUCUACAGGUGCUCUUAGGCACAGGAAGGCUUUGGGGCUGGCCUAGUGGAUUAGCAAUGGCAUAGAGCCUCUACCCUAGGCUUAAAGCAGUAGGAGCGCAAAAGCAGGUGGUGACUCUCAAGGAGCUUAGGUCGGCCCUCGAUACUUUUAUAAUAGUGUUUUUGCUGUGCUGGCCCUUGGCUCAUCUCAGACCACAGCUGACUUCCCAAUGCCAACAUUCUGGAGCAGACACGUCUAACCUGCCAUGAGGGGAGGAUUCCAUACCAACAGGCCGGGCAGGUCGCCCAGCUUGGAGCUAUGCUAGACUCUCAGGCUUCACCAGGCCUGGGACUUCCGACUGUGGCCUGCUGCAGCAGCUUUGCUCCUGGGAAUGGAGAUGCAGGCUCCACCCAGAUGCUGGCAGGAGCCUCAGCAGGCGGAAAUCACCUGGACAGAGACAUUAGUGAAAAAGCACCCAGGCUCAAGGCAGCCCCUAUGAAUGUGUACAAAGGGGAUCAUGUAAAUUGCUAGUCAGCACGUAGAGGCCCCGCAAGGGGAUAUGCAAGAGAGUGUAAAGGGAACCAACUUUAAAACAGAACUGCCCUUGGUGACCAAGGAGUAUUUGAUUUCUCAGGCGCCUAGCAAGCCGGUCUUCUGGUCUAGCUACAGACUAAUCUUCAGCAUCUUCCUACCCCAUGCCAGCCUUAACCUAAGAGUUAGCACUGUACUCUGCUGUGGAGUGAUGAGCACUUUAUCCCCUCUCCCACUCACAAGGCUCUGUGUUGCCCCCUACCCCCUAGUUACCCUAGACCGUACUUAAUCUCCAGCCCUUUCCCCAGUCCACAAGCGUCUUUAUGGGGUUAUGUGAACCCCCUUUAAGCACUUUUCCCUAGACAUGCUCAGCAGAAGUCAGCUGUUUACAACUGUCCUCCCUGGCCGUCAACCAAGGAGUCUCUGGGCAUGCAGGAGCCUAGCCUCCUGAUCCAAGGCUGGAUCAGUAACUGUAAGGACCCCAAGCAGUAAGUUUGACUUGCUGUCUUACAUCUGUAAUCCUAGCACCCUGAAAGCUAAGGUAGGAGGAUUGAGAGUUGGGGCUAGCCAAACGAACAAACCCAAGGAAAAAUGGUAGGUACCAAAAAAUCUGGGAAAGAGUUAGUUUGAUUUUGGAUCACUUGGCAGGUUUUUAUCUCCAUCCUCAAAGUAGGGUGUCCAAUGAGAGGGGACUACCACAUGAGCCCUUCCUGUCAUUCAGGGUUUUAAGGAGUGUUGACUAAAGAGAAGAGGUUCUGAUCUUGGGCCUGGUGAGAAUGAAUAUGGCACACAGCUGGUAGCAAGAGUUGGUUCAAAUACAAAAGGGCAUUUUCUCAAACACACUGCUAGCUUGUGUGUUUGGGGAGUUUCCACAAAGGAAGGCCUGGGAAGAGAGUGUCCCUAUACCUGGCAGAUGGGUCAAUCUUGACCAUGUCUCAGAAAGUCCUUCCUUAAUCAUGCUCAGACCUCAGCUGUGGGCCAGGAAAGCUAAGUCUUGUGGAUGGGUCUUGAUCAUCCUGCAUCGCUGAAGUUUGUCAUACAAUCCCUUCUAUAAAUUCGAGCAGCUAAGUGGAAAGGUAGGAACACAGAGGGUGCCUCUCCAGUCCAGCCCUGAGCCUUCUCUCCUCUGAACCAUUUACAAUGAACAAGCCACUCAGUUCCUCUUAGAAGGCAUGAUCUGUAUUUAUACUCACUUGCACCUAUUCUUGGCAAGUGAGUGCAAGCUUUGGAAUUAAUAAUGGGAGGCUGGCUAGGUGGUCCACAACUCACCUAGUAACAGCUCUCUCUAUCUGAAGCACCUGGGACCUAAGGAGAAAAACCCUCAUCAAAGUGGGAGAUACUCACAUGCUGGAGCUUUCAAGAUCAGCUCCAGAUGUGAGAGAGGUACAUAGAAGGUACUUUUCAGGGGCUCCUAUGGGUGCAUGCAUACCAUUGGCUGGUUGAAGAGCCUGGUAUAUACUAGUCAGCCAUCUCGUGGUGGUGCCCCUAAAGCCAGCAUGAGAACUACAGUCCCAGCCAGGGUCAGACUUUCCAGACAGGCAAAGGAUACAAGCAUGAGUGUGGAGCAGGGAAAGGGAGAAAGGGAGAGUUAUGAAAGGCAGGCUCAAGUCUCCCUGCUUCAGGGAAGAGCUGGGGGCCUUUGCAGAGCUGAUAAGGAGGCUCCCUCAGACCUUUCUAGGCACUCAUUAGAGGAAGUGCUUUGCUAAGGAUCCAAGAUGAUAUUUCUAUUUUCCCUCUUAGCAGCGAAUGGAAUUUGCACCAUCCAGGUCAGAUGGAAAAUAGGAGCUGGGAAAAUUUGACACUCUCAUUGAUUUGCUCUCCUCGCGAGAGAGGAGUAUGACUUCAAGAUUGCAAUUAGGAGCCAGCCUGCUAAGGGGUUCCUCUCCUGAGCUCAGGUGCUGCACAGAUCGUGGAUUGCAGGUCCUGCCCCUCAUCUCCUGAGGAGGACUUAGCUUCCUUUAUGGUUCUGAGCUGGAGCUGAACCUGCCGGAGCUCCCAAAGAUUACCUGGGUCUUUACUCUCGUUUUUGGUCAGGCCUUUGAGCAGAUGGCAAUUUUUCCAGUGUUUUAAAAGUAUUAACUUCCUUUCAAACAUUCUUUAACCUUUAAUGUUUUGUAACUUGAUGAAAAGGUCACUUUGUUCUGAGGAUGCACCUGUCCCUUAAUUAUUCAGCUAUAGGUGAUUUCUACCCAAAUCCUCAACUUUUCUUUUUUCUUUUUUUCUUUUUUUUCCCUAGGGGUGGGUGGGUGUGGGCAGUUGCUGAGAGUGAAGCCUUGUACAUGCUAGGCAGGUGCUCUACAGCUGAGUUACUGGUAAAUUCUAAGCAAGUACAUCCUUGCCCCUAAUUCACACACACACACACACACACACACACACACACACACACACACACACACACCUGGAGAUAUGGCUCAAUGGUUAAGAGCACUGACCUGACUGCUCCUCCAGAGGACCUGGGUUUAUUUCCCAGCACUCACAUUGCAGCUCACAACCAUCUGUAACUCAAUGCCCUGUCUGAUCUCCUUGGGCACCAGGUGCUCAAAUGGUGCACAGACAUAUAUGUAGGCAAAACAUCCAUACACAUGAAAUUAAAAGAAUCAUUACAUAUCUAUCUAUCUAUCUAUCUAUCUAUCUAUCUAUCUAUCUAUUUGUGUGUGUGUGUGUGUGUGUGUGUGUGUGUGUGUGUGUGUACACAUUAUGCAUAUGGAGGUUAGAAGGCAACUUGUAGGAAUCAGUUCUCUCCUUCGAUUGUGUGGUCCUUAGGAUUGAACUCGGGUCAUCAGGCUUGGCAGCAAGCACCUUAACCCACUGAGCCACCUCACCACUUCCGUAUCCAGCCCCUGAUUCUUUAUGGGAUCCAAACCAUGCAUAUACAUGUAAUACAGACCAAUAUUUUCCCACUAAAUCUGUAUAUCUAUGGACAUGCAUGUUUCUAUUUGUAUUUAUACAAUUAUAUUUUGCACAUGUGUGUUCAUAUACAUUUGUAUUUGAAGGUACUCUAUAUUUGCAUUUGCAUAUAUUUAUAUUCAUAUAACUUAUAUGCAGGGAAUUGGGUUUACAUGGAUACGUCAGUAUUCCUAUACAACUUCUUUAUAGGAAAAUAGAUACAUGAUUUGCUUGCCUGAAUGAUGAGUUUCAUUUGAUGGCCACCACUUAUUAUAAGUGUUCCUCACUUUUAAAAACGAUUUAGACAAUGUCCAAACAGGGUCUCACUGUGUAGCCCAGGAUGGCCUAGAGCCUGCCAGGUGUGUCCAGCCUUUUGAUUGGCACACGUUGUCAUCUACAAAGUUCAUGCCUGAGAACCACAGAAUCGGGUUCCACAAAGGAAAACAAAACUUGGAAAACAAAUUUCAUAAUGUUUUAAGUAAGUUUACAGUUGUGUCAGGGCCGCUGUGAUUCUUUACUCAGCUGUGAUCUGUUUCAGGUCAGACAUACCUUGGAGACCUAGAAACACUAAGAGGAACUGGUUCUGAGUGCUGGCAUUGAAGACAUGCACCGCUGUGUGCUGGAUACAUAGCCUCAGCUUCCCGCAGCCCCCUCUCCUUCAUUCUUAUCUUUCCAAGCUGAUGUGUUCUUGCAAACAGAGGCCCAAGUGUGUUAGACUUAUAUUUAAAAUAUAAAAGGAAGUUAGUAGGUUCAGGUGAAGAGGUUUUUCUACAUGGAAACUACACAAAGCUCAUGUUCAGACCCUGCAGAAUGUGUUUACUUGUUCAAGAGGUGAUGGGUGUGGCACCUUAAACCUCUUCUCUGAGGUUUUUAGAUGAGAAAUCUCCAGGCAAAGAGAAGCUGUUGGAUCCUGGCACUCACCUUAAGUCGUUGUAGACUUGUAUAAGAAUAAAUCUGCUCUAAGCUAUGUACUAAAUCAUGAAGAGCACUCUGUAAGAUUAACAUUCAUUAAGUGCAAGAGACAGAAUUGAUACUUAACUUAAAAGCAUAUACCUUUAAAAGGUCUCUGGGUGCAGGAAAGGUGAGGAAUAGCAGCAACAAGCCUUGGAGAACAAGCUUGGUGGUCUCUCCUGGAAAACAUCGUCUCAGGAUUCAUCACCUGGAAUGGUUUCUUGCACAUUCCUGACCACUAGAUGUUUUUCUGCAUUUCCGUUGGUUCAUUGCUGACUUCCUGUAUCUUUGUGGGAGACACGUCACAAAUGCAGAGGAGCAAAGAAUAUUUCUAAAACAUUCUCCCAGCACCAGGGAGGCUGACACAGGAGGAUGGUGAGUCCAAAGAGAGCCUGACACACACAGUGACUAUAUAUGCAUACAUAUAUGAUGAAAGUUAAAGAAAAAAAUGUAUAGGAUUAUUUAGAUCAUAUGCAAAUAUGAUUAAGCUAAAUAAAUAAGAAAUAAAACUUUUCUGUUCUCAGAUAGUAGUCACAGAAUUCGAACAGGUGAGGCAGGAGGAUUGCAAAUUUGAAGCCAGCUUGAGCUACAUUGUGAAACCCUGUCUCAGAACUAUGGGGAAGAAGUUUUAAACAACAAUGAGUUCUUGCUGUAGUCAUCCUUGAAAGUCCCUUCUGGCUCCUGCUAAUUCCAGUCCUCACUUCCUGGAGGGCACUGGGUACCUCUAUCCUUCUCCUUGUCAGUUUCCACACUUAGAUAAAAAUGGAAUGACACUAAACGGAUCAUUUGGUAUUGUGUCUUUUACUCAGUAGUGUUUUAAGACUCAACUAUGUGGUCAUAUAUAGCUGAUUUGUUUUCAAAUUUUUAUACUAUGACUACAUUAAAGUAUAUUAGGCAUUUCUAUUUUUUUCUUUUCAAGGGCCCAUGAUUUUAAAAAACAUGCCAGCUAGACAUCCUAUAUAUUUGUUAUCUCAGAAUUCUGUAGUAAGAUGAUUUUGAGUUCUAGCCUGGCCUGGGCAGCAUGCUACACAGACCCUGUCUCUGGAAAUGGGGAACUGCAACUCUCUGUGAGAAUGCACACACUCCAGCAUGUAUAUGCAGUGGUGCAGUUGCUGGAUGGCAGAGCACAAGUGUCCAACAUCGUUCUCUAAAGUGGCUGUCUAUUUCCCACAAGCAGGUUUGCAGUGCCCCGGCUCUUCGUCCUUGUCAGCAGGAGGCAUUUUUAGCUGUGGUUUUUCUUCUUAGUACUUCUGUAUCUGGUGGUCAUAGCUGCCAUUUAUUGAUGCAUACAUUUCUCCCUAUGAUUUGUAGUGAGUUUGAACACUACCUGUUUCUAUUUUUGAUCAUUUGGAUUUGGGGGCAUGUUCAGUUCCUCUUCUUGUCUUCUGUUAGAUAUAUGUUUUGUAUUAAUCUUGUUUUUUUCCUUUUCUUUUUUUUUGGCAUGAGGUAGAGGGGGUGGGACUUGUUAUCUCAUCUCAUACUUCCAGAUAACAGUCCAUCACUGAGAGAAGUCAGGGCAAGAACUACAGUACAUGAAAGAACCAUGGAGGAAAGCCUCCUGCUGGCAUUCUCUCGAGCCUCUGCUCAGCUAGCUUUCCACAUGAAUAUAUAAUUUAUGACUAUUAUUAUUAUUAUUAUUUCUUUGAGACUUUCAUAAACUGUGCUUGGAUCGUACCCAUCCCUCUCCCCCAUCUCCUCGCAGGUCCACUCCGCAUUUCCACAUUUCAUACCCACCCAGCUUUGCAUCGUUACUUCCUUUUAAACCUAUCCAGUUCUCUCAGUGCUGUCUGUGUGCUCAGAGGUGUGCGGCAAUCCACUGGAAUGCUAGACCUCCCAGGAGUCACACACACCCUAAAGGAAACUAACUCCCCCUCUCCUAGUAGUUAAUAACUACCAAUAGCUCCUGAGCUAAAGGUGAGACUUCAUACUCACCAUUUCAGGAAAAUCCUUUAUUGUCCAGUUCAUCUUAAGUUGACCUCUUCAGAGACACUUCAGUAGAUCCUAGGUUGCAACCCAAGAAUUCUCCAGUUUACACAUAUUCCAGCCCCCUAGGACAUAAGGAUACAAUAUGUCAUGGUAAAUCCCAGGUCCUGACUCAGCUUCAUCAAUAGGAAUCUAGUUUCAUACCUCCUCAUGCUCCCCUCUGUCUCCAAUAUUAUCUCACUGUAUGGAUGCUUCAUCUCAAAAGAGCAAGUGGACUUCAAACAUGAAAUAGGACUCUGUGAGUCUGUGUCCAUAUCCAACAGGAGGAGAAUGAAACAGUAAUGAUGUAGAUAAGAAAAUAAAAACUUUUCCAUUCUUGCUAGUCCUAGUAUUCAAGAGGCUGAGGCAGGAGGUUUACAAAUUUGAAGCCAGCUUGAACUCUGUAGUAAAGCCCCACUCCCCACAAAAUAAUAAAAAUUGGCUUCUCAAAUAACCUAAGUCCUUCCUUUCAGUUUUCUUUCUUUUUUUUCUUUUAUAAUUUAAUUUAAUUUUACAUAUCAGCCACAGAUUCCCCUGUCCUCCCUCCCCACCCCCACCCUCCCUAUCCCCGCCUUCCCCCCAGUCCACCCCACAUUCCCAUCUCCUCCAGGGCAAAGACUCCCCUGGGGAUUCAGCUCAGCCUGGUAGAUUCAGUUCAGGCAGGUCCAGUCCCCUCCUCCCAGGCUGAGCAAAGUGUCCCUGCAUAAGCCCCAUGUUCCAAACAGCCAGCUCAUGCACUGAGGGCAGGUCCCGGUCCCACUGCCUGGAUGCCUCCCAAACAGUUCAGGCUAAUCAACUGUCUCACUUAUCCAGAGGGCCUGAUCCAGUUGGGGGCUCUUCCUUUCAGUUUUUAAGGAUUAUUUCUAAGCAGUAUCAGUAGCUAUAACCAGUGAAGGCACAACCCCACCAGGCUCUCCAAUCUCCUUCUUGGGGUGCCAAGAAGGCCAGAAUGAAUACAGGGAAAAGUCAACUUCAGACAGCUCCCACACUCACCACCAUCUGCUGAUUUAAAAAUCCAUUCUUUUUAAUUGCAUAAAGUAAAACUCACUUUUUCACAUAUAGUCUUUCUGGUUCUGACAAAUCCUAAAGUCCUAUUACUGUUGCAAUCAAGAUUUGGAACAGGCCAGGCCUGGUAGUUCAUGCCUGUAAUCCUAGCACUUCAGGAUGAGGCAGGAGGAUUGCAAGUUCAAGACCAGUCUGAACUACAUAGUAAAAUCCUGUGUCGAAUCUCCCACAAUACCAUAUUUCUUUGGCUCCCCUUUUAUAGUUAAUUUAUCCACCACCUGCCCUUACUUCCCGGUCCCUUAGGCCAGAACCCCCAUCCACCUGUACCACUGAGAGGAACCAUUGAUCAUUUAUGGCGCAUAGUUUAUCCUAAAGCAUAGCAUGAAUAAAUGAAGUUACACAUGGUGUCCUUUUGGGAGUCUGCUUUCUAUGUUAAUACAAGGCAUUUGAGACUGGUCCAUGCCGAAUCCACAAGCUAUCUCAUAUCACUGCUGAGAUGAAUUCUUUUGUGUGGAUGUACCAGAGUCAGUUGACCCGUUCAUUAGCUAAUCAGUGAGUUAAGCUGCUGUAAACAUGCAAGUCCAGGUUCUGUGUGAGAGAACACAACUUUUCCUUUCUCCUGGCUGUGACGGAUGCAUCUAUAUGGUAAGAACAUGUUUAGCUGUACAAGGAACCACCAAAUUAGGCUGGGGUGUAGUAAUACACAUCUGUAAUUCCACCAUCGAGGAGGCAGAAGUAGGCAGAUCUUUGCGAAUUCAAGGCCACCCAGGGCUACAUAGUGAGACAUAAUCCUUAGAAAAAAAUAGAGAGAGCUGAAGAGAUGCCUCAGCUGUUAAGUAUAUUUACCACUCUUGCAGAGGGCCUGAGUUUAGCUCCCAGCACCCACAGGGCAGCUUACUACCUUUGGAAUCCAACACUCUUGCCUCUGACCUUUAUGAGUACCAGGCAUAUACCUGAUACACAUUCAGACAAAACAUUAACAGACAUAAAAAUUAAUUAAUUAAAAUGUUUUUAAAAGAAAAGAAGGGGGAAAAAACUUCCAAAUGGCCUUUGUUGUGGUGCUAGAGCCUGGAAUCCAGGGUCCUUCAUGUACUGCGCAUGUGCUGUACCAUGAGCUACAUCACUAGCCAUGCCAAGUCACUUUCUGUUCUUGUUUUGUAGUGUUGGAGAUGGAGCUCAAGCAUGCAAACCAAGGGCUCUACCAGGAAGCUGCCGCCUCAGCCUUACCAAAUGGCACUCUUAGCUUUUUAUUCAUGUGUGGAUCUGUGUGCAUGUAUGCCACAAUAUGUCUAGGUGCCUGUAGAGGCCAAAGGAAGGCUUAAGGCCCAUUAGAGCUGGAGUUACAGAUCAUUGUGAGCCUCCCUUCACUGGAACUGUAACCAACACAGGUCUUUGAAGAGCAAUGUGAGCUCCUAACUGCUGAGCCAUCUCCAAAGUCAGCUGCCCCACUCAGUGGCUCCCAAGGGGGUGUAUUUGUAUCUCAAUCAGCUACCAAGGCAAAGAUCUACAUCCUUCUAGAGAUUGUAAUAGUCGUGAAGGUGCUUGGUAGAGAGAGGGUGCAGUAUGCCAAGGUGGGAGAUUUGGGAAGAAACAUAUCUGAACUCUGUGUGUGUUUAAUAAAUAUAUAUGUAAGUUAAAGAUUUUAAGUGGGAUACAAUAGUUACUAAAGCACAAAUCUGUAAUGUAACUGUCAUAUAUUUUUGAAAAGGAUUAUACCAGUGCAGCAUUGUGGAAUGAAGAGAUUUUUGUACAAUGGAUUUUGAUCCUAUUAGUCCCCCAUUCCCUCUUGUGCCCUCUUUUUAUGGUACCUCCUCCACCCAGGGCUCAGGGAUCAUUGAGGAAAGAAGGGCAGAAAGGUGGUACGAGCCAGAGGCAUUGGAUGGAUGCAGUGAAACAGUUUUUCAGACACAACAGGCCAGUUACAUAUAUGAGCUUUCACAACUUGGUUAAGUCAGACAAAAUCCCUGCACAGAGCGGGGGAGUUGGGAAGGAAAUCCCACCCCAGCUGAGGAACUAAUGACAACUGAUAGCUGCUGAGGGAGGGAGAAGCCAGUUUCUUUAAAGAUGUAGCCCCUAGUAAGAUGGCCACACAUCCACAAUCACACAGACAGCACAAACUGAAUCCAGUGGAUUGAUAUCUGAAUUCUUAAGUCCUGUAGGAUCUAGCUGAUCCUGAAUAUGGACAGGACACGUCCAAUCGUAGGUCAUUUGCUUCUCCCAUGGGGUAACAAAUAAACACCUCUCUACCUAUUUUCCAUAUGCAGCAAGUGCACUGUCUCUCUAGGUUGAGCCAGCCAAGGUUUACAAAGCAUGUCAGAGGACAAUUUUAUUCCCCAAUUCAGAAAGCAAAGUGAGAUAAUCAUCUGGACCGCUCUUAUGCCACUGUGGCAGGAACUAGGAAAGGGCCAUAUCCAAAUCAGAGUGCCAGAGCUGGCAAGGACCUUAGCAAUUCUCACUUGAAAGAUGAUACUAUGAUAUGGACUCUUCUCCCCAUUAUCCCCACCAGGCACUCAUACAGCCUUCCAGUAAACAAAAUCAGCCCAUUUCCUGUAUGACCUCUGAGAACACAGGGCAGCGUUCCACAUCCCACCAAUGGUGGUGUGGACAAGACUGUGGACCUGUGCUCACAGUACAAAGGGAGACAGAAAGGAGUCUACAGUGCCGCGUGCCUGGUGACCUGGCCAGAGCCCAGGUUUCUGUUUUACACCCCUUAAACCUUGGCUUCCUUAGUCUUGGCGCCCCUUUUGAGAUUCUGAAGGCACCUUCUCACUUCAAAGGUCCUGAGAAUAUGUUUAAUUAGAACUUGGCCGUACAGCCUUUUAAAAUAAAACAGAAGGGACCAGCUAAUUAUAUUGCUCCACGUUCUGUGGCAAACAUAUAUUUUUUUAAUAAAACACUUUCCUAACCAGAGUAAUCCCUUGAGACACAAAUCCUCAUUUAUAAGAAGUUUCCCAAAGGGAGUUAAAGAGAAAGACUUCUCUAAAGAAAAGAAACAAAGAGGGUGUAUGUGUGUGUGUGUGGGGGGGGGGGGGUUGUUUGCAAAGAGCUUUCAAAAGAGGCUCUCUUGAUGAGGUUGAAAUAGGGAUGUUUCAAGGAUGCUGAGUUUUACUGCAAACACUGUCCGUUCCUGUCUUUUUUUUUAAUCAUGCAUUUCCUCUUUUGAUUAGUGCAGCAAAUGCUGAUAUUUCUCUUUCUGGUGUGUUGCAUAAGUGCAGUAUUUAAAUAAACAAGUGAUUUUCUUCUCAAAAUGUUCUUUGUCUCCUGCUGUGUGGCCCUGCAUUGCUCCACUUGGACCUCCUUCUCUGUGCAAGAGCCUCACAGGACUGGCUAUGGUUGCUGGGGUGAUGCUAGGUAGGGGGUUUUGCCUGAGUGCCUGUCAGUCUAGGGUGAGAGAGAGGAUUUUCCUUCACCCACCCACCCCACACUCAGAUGUGAGAUGACUUGGAUGCUUGUGUUUGGAUCCCCUGGAGCUGGAGUUACAGGUGGUUCUGAGGCACCUGAUAUGGGUGCUGGGAACCAACUCAGAUCCUCUGCAAGAGCAGCAAUCACUUUUAACCACAGAGCCAUCUCUCAGCCCCUAUUUAUUUAUUUUUUAACUUAGCAUAGAACAUAAUAGUUUUCCUUAUGGCAUUUUCAUACGUAAUUUUUCUUAUCCGGGCCCCUCCUCAACACCCUCCUCUCUCUCUUGACCUUAAGUUUGCUGAAUCUCUUUCUCCUCCUCAGGAGGUCCGCUUUUCUACCUUCAUUCAGUUGUGUUCCAAUAUCCUCUCUUUCCCAGUUCAUCUCUCCCUCCCUUGGGAUCGAGUCUUCCUCUUCCUGCCCCUCUCCACUUUCCUGACCUAACCUGGAUUUGAAUGCAGGUCUUUGCACUGGCAGUCUCCGCUCUCCAGUGCCAGAGCAUGCUGGUAGAUGGGACCAGUCUCUGGGACUCUGUGCUUCUAUAGUGGUUUUGUGACUCUUCCUCAUACAAUGUGGGGAACCAACACACAUCUCUUCGUGUGUGUGUGUGUGUGUGUGUGUGUGUGUGUGUGUGAGAGAGAGAGAGAGAGAGAGAGAGAGAGAGAGAGAGAGAGAGAGAGAGAGAGAGAAAGAAUUUCACUAUGUAGCUCAUGCUGGCCUUGAACUUCCAAUCCUCCUGCCUUAGUUCCCUGAGUUCUGGGAUUACAGGCAUGUGCCACCACACCUGGCAUUGUAUUUUUUAAUUAAGUUUUCAGUCAGGCAGGAUUCUAGCAGGAAAGGAGAAAACAGAUUCAAAUUCAAAUGACCAAACAGGAUUUCUUAAGGAAACUGUUUGCAAAGGAAAGCAGGAGAAAAUAAGGAGGUGCUAAGCUAUUCCAAGGCCUUCUGGGGUCAAGGGUCCUGAGUCCUGGGAAGCAGAACAAUGAGCAGGACUCUCCUUUUGAAGAGCUGUUUUUCCAGAGUCACAGCCCAAGAAGGGGUAGGAUUCACCACUGCUCUCUUUUUCUUUCUCCCUCUGCUGCCUGGGCUCCACAUCACAAACACCCCAGCAAACACAGUGAAGCAGUCCACUGAAACUGCUGCCUAGGCCAGCCUCCAGGGUUCACUCUGGGGGUCUAAGGCAGAAAACCAGCAAAAGAAGAACACACUGGAAAAGACUGGAUGCGGAUGAUGCAUCAGCUCUUCUAGCAGUAGAGAGAAAAUGGGGAGGGAGGGAAUGGAGGGAGGGAGGGAGGGAAGGGAGGAUCCAGACCUAUGCCCUGAGACCUUAGAGUCUGAAAGAAUCUAGGUAGACUGGAGAAGUAGUCCCUUGGCUAAAAGUCUACAUUGCCUGCCAAGCCCGAGGUAUAAAGGAUGGUCAUGAAAGCUUGGAGUUUGAUUUGUGUGUCCCUCAAAGGGACCACAUGAAUGAUAAAACUCACUGCUUGCAGCAUUUACAGAACUUAGGCAGAUCUGAGGCCAGAUAUUUUUAUUUGAUGUAACUGUAAUGCUCUUCUCAAACACUUCUUAAAUAAAAUUAAAUAAAAAGGAAAAGAAAUCAUCCUCCUAGCCCCCAAAACAAAGAUUGGCACCUUGGCCUGAAUGCUACCACUUCAUUCCUUCUGUGCUUUUCCUCCAUAGUGAUAGCCACGUUGAGUAGAAAACAUUGAGGAUGGAAUUUUUGUUUGGGUUUCUUAUUGUAUUUUGUCAGGUUCUAAUCUUUCAUACACUUUUGAUGAUUAUAUGGCAUUUCACUGCAUUAUUAUCACAGUUCUUUAAAGAAGAUUUAAAUUUCAUUUUUAGUUUUGUGUAUGCAUGUGCAUCUGUGUACCAGUUUGUGCAUGUGAGUGCAGUGCCUGUGGGAGUCAGAAGAGGGCGCUGGAUCCCCUGGUAUCUCUCUUGUUGUUGUUAUCAUCCUAAUGUUUAAAUAUUUAGGUUAUUUUCUGUUUGUUUAGGUUUUCCAUUAUAGUGUAGAAUGUUAUGAUGAAUAACUGCACAUAAAGAUAUUUUUUAAAACAUAUUUUAGAUGGUUUCUUCAGGAUGACAUCUCUGAUACAGUUACUAGAUGGUAAAAUGUUUAACACAGCUCCAGCCACAAAAGGACAUAAGUUCAACAGUAAUUAUCUUUAUUCAAUGGUGAGUAUUUAUAUAAGGAUUUUUCUAAUGUUAGAAUUAUUAGGAAGACAUUUUGCAUUUCUCUCAAGAAGGCAUUUGAAAACUGCAGUGUAUUCUAUAGGAUUCAUAUCAGUUCAGAGCUUCCACAUUCUAGGCCUCAGUAGUCACACAUGUGGCUUGUAGGUCCUAUGGAGAAUAAUGCAGGGCCAUAGAAAGAAUCUGCUGGAGAUUUUGGCUACCAUUGGCAUUGUCACCUAGCUCCCAAGUCUAUCCGUCUUUCGCUGUUUUCCUGAUGUCCUUUCUCAGCCUUCAUGAACUAACAGUAAAUCAGAUGGCCAGAUGUAGCCUGAAUCCUCUGCCUGCUGCUCUCAUUCCUACCUGAAUGCUGAGGAAUAUACGGCCUCCCCACACCCAACCCUGUUUGCUGCAGAUCAUCAGCACUCUUAGUGCCUGGGCCAUCUAACCAGUCCUAGGAAAGCCGCCCAUCUCACCGGUGAGUAGGGCUUGGCAAGAUGGCUCAGUGGGUAAAGGAAUUUGCCACCAAACCUGACGACAACCUGAGUUCAAUUUCCAGAACCCAUAAGAGAAAGAGGGAACCGACCCACAAUAGUUGCCCUCUGACCUCCACACCCAAGCAGUAGCAUACACCUGCCUGAACACCCCCCCCACAUUAUUCACACAUAUUUCUUGACUAUUUCCUAUAUGUUCAGCUCUAUCCUUAUAUGCAAAUAAACACACAGAAUGUUCUACUGCUAUUUCAUUGCAGAACUAGUCUGUGUUCUUAGGAUCCUGUUGGGGAGACAGACACAAAUCAAAUCACACAGUGUGUGAGUUCAAACUAUGAUGACUGCUAGGAGGAAAAGCAUAUUUAAAAAUGCUGAGCCCUAAAAAAAGGUAAAGUUAAAAAAAAAUAAUGCUGAAUCUUCUGGGCCAUGGUAGUGCAUACCUAUAACCCCACACAUGUUGGCCUCCGACUAAUGGCAAUCUUCCUGCUCCAGCUUCCCAAGUACUGGAACUUCCUGCAUCUGUUCUGCCCAUGAACCCAAUGAGGUGGAUGGCAGAUAUCUCUCUGGACAUUUCAGACAAGCAAAUCCAGCAAUCUCUUGGGCCAGACUGACGACGCUGCCAACUGGGCACACUUUCCCGAGAAGAUAACAAUUUAAAGAGGAAAAAUCAAUGCUAAUAGAACUCUUUUUCAGGUUUGGAAAAUGACAUUGUCCACAGCAGCUGAUGCUGAGAGCCCUGCGGCUGGGCAGAAGGCAUGAGCUCUGGACGGACGCAAUCUUGUGAGCUCUUCAAAUGGGGCCAAAUCAAUAAAUGAGAGGCAGCGGGGAUGGCAGGAGGCUGGGUUCAAGGGUUCUGGGAUCACAGACUUGGGCUACCACAUACACAUCACCAAGAAUUACCUCCGGAGACACAGAUAAGAUCAAGGGGACAAAUGAGGAUACUGUGUGUUAUCCAGGCCACACAGAUAUGGCCGUGUGUGGGGGAGGGUAUAGUGGGGACAGGCAAUGGCGGGGUGUGGUUCAAAUAUCUGUAUUUUGAAUGUGAGGGUCUGAAAAUGAUCUCUGGGCUCCACUACAUGGUUCUUUCCAGAGCAUGGAGGUACCUAGCCAGCUGGCUAGCAUAGACCCAGGAUACAGGCAAAAGGCUAUUUGAGGAAGUGAAGAAGCACCAGCAGAGGGCAGAGAUUGCAGAGAGGAGGGUCUCUGGGAGGGAGGGAGGGAGGGGAUAAACACAUUCUUGAGUACUAUUUUUCCCUCCACUGACUAUAAAAGUGCAUUGCAGUCUAUUUACCUCUGUUCUUUCUCGAUUUCUCUCAAGGACACAGCCCACUUCUUCAUCACUCAGCCCAGGACUGUGAGACUGCCUCAAGAUAGAUGAGCAAAAGUUACAGAGUUUCCUAUUGUAGUUACAUCUCAGUUGGGGGAUUGAUGCCCACCUGCCUGACGCUAUGGGAUGGAUUUCAGCACAGAUGUGACCUCUGUGGCCAGAGGCCAGGAUGAGUAGACCCUGGUGUGGAGCAGAACCAUCUGGUCACAUAUGGUUUACGACUAUGGCAAUGGAGCCCUCUGAAUGAAGAACUUGUUGGAUGCCCUUGACCUCGAGGAAGUAACAGGAACUCAGAGUGUUCAGUGUGAUUUAUCACCUGUUGAGAAAGAGGCAAUGGAGCCAAGUAGCCAUGGACAGAACCUCUGAAAUCAUGAGCCAAGUCAAUCAUUCCUCAUUUGUAAGCUGAUUGAUUAUCCCAGUACAUGUGGUUAAGUUUCUUCAUAUCCACCUACAGCCUCUCAGGAAGAUUUUCGUCAAGGUCAAACACAGCAGCUAAUCCACAGAUCUGGCGUCUGAGCUUCUUGUCUUUGAGGCAUUGUGUCUGUUCCCUGAUGCUCCAGCUGCUCCUGUUGCCUGGGUGACUACACAUUAGUCCUUACUCCAACUUGAGGACUUGCUUUAGCUCUGGCAGCCACUGGUCCCCCACUUCCUGGAGCUCUUGUCUUCUUUUUCUUGCCUUAAUUCCCCCUUUGUUGCUGUACAAUCCUAAUAGCUGUCUGAUGAUGUAAUAAUGGUGUCUGGGUUGAGUAAGCCAGAAAAAAAGGCUUUCCCAGAUAAGCAUAUCCUAGACCAAGAACAGCAGCAGCAACCACAGCUAAAUAAAGCAAGAAGACUGAGCAGAGAUACAAAGCCUGUUUUUUUUUUUUUUUUUUUAUCAAGUGAGCAGCCAACACUUCAAAAGACAUGAAAGAGAAGGAGGAAGAGAGCUCUGGGCAUCUGUUCUGCUGCAUGUCUGCAAACAGGGACACCAAGACACCACCCAAGGUACAGAGCCAGAGCAUGGCACUCCUUAAAAGAUCCCAUAGAGCUUGGGUGCAGUGUCUCCAGCUUUGAGCCCUGUGACUCCCUGUCAUAUCCUUUUGGAAGAUGAGUAUGUGACCCAACUGAAAACGGAGGAAAAUGAAAACCCAAAUCAGAGGGAUGAGGGGAAAUGUCUAUUAUUGAACUCCAACUCUUUACCCGAACUGCCCCACAGAAGAGAGGCUAGAAGAAAGGUCAAGUAUGUCCUCCUUCCCUCUCCUUCCCUUUUCCCGCCUUUCUUUCUGUCCCUCCCUCCCUUCCUUCUUCUGCCCCCCAUCCUUUUUCCUCCACUCCCUCUAUUCUUUCUUGGGUCUCCUAUGCAGCCUGGGAUGGACUUAAUUCUACAGUCUUCCUGGCCCUGCCUCCCUGUGCUGAGAUGACACUCGUGUACCACCACACCAAGCUGGAACAUUUCGCAGUCCAGCAUUCCUCUAGGAGACAGUAGGGCAGACCCUGUUGCUAGUGUCCUGCAGUGUCCUAGGCUUCUUCUUCUAGGAGAAGGACCAGUCAAAAGCAUGCUUCACUCUGGAAUCCUACUUAGGAGGCCCGUUCCCAAAUGUCAGCUCCUAAUCGGCAACAGCUGCCUCUGUGGUUUCUUCUGGGCGAGUGAUUCAUGUCUUUGCUGAGAAACGAUAAGCAGAACAAAUGUUUACUUAGACGUAUAACAGAGGGACAAUUGGAAAACAGGAGACAGGCAACUGGAAUUAUUUUGCUGCUAUUUGAUCCAUGACAAUUAGAGGGAAUUAGUCAUAUGGGCCAGAGGCAGAGUGGGGGAGGCAGAUGGGUUCCUGGGAAAACAACAGAAGGAAACAGAGGGAGGGUGGAGAGUUUGGUCAGGGUACUAUAAACUGGCCUUCAUCCCCCAAAAGGCACAUUCCCUGACAACCUGUUAAUGGAUUAUACAAGCAGGUUCUACAGAACAGAACCUGGGGAAGAAAAGUUUACAUAUGUGUGGCUAGUGACUCUAAAAUCCAUCCUUUUUUUAAAAAAAUCACAUUCACAAAUUAAAAUACGGGUUAGGGCAUGACUCAGUGGCAAAGCACUUUGUCAGGCUUGGGCUCAAUCCAGCACAGAGAAAAGAAGAAAAGAAAAGAGCAUCAUCAUUCUUGUGUGUAGCGUGGCUUGUGUAUAUACAGGUACAGGAAGACAGGAGGAAAAUACACAGGGCGUGGUGGCACGUGAUUAUAAUCCUAGCCAACUUGGGAGGUAAAGCAGGGGAUCCAGUGUUCAAAGGCCAGCAUGAGCAAUUCAGGGAAAUUGUCUCAAGAAUGAAUUCUAUCAUACUAUCUGUAAUAUACAUUACUUAUGUAGGUAGACACAUAGGCUUAUAUAUACAUUGGUUAGCUGUUAUUAUCAACUUGAUACAACCUGGGAUUGGAAAGUGGUAACCUCAACUGAUGAAUUGCCAAAAUCAGGUUGGCCUAUGGCCAUGUCUGUGAGAGAUUAUUUUGACUGAUAAUUGAUAUGGGAGGGCCACAAGGCAUCCCCAGGCAAAAAGGCCUAGAUGGUAUUAAAAUACUAGCUGAGCCGGGCAUGGUGGUGCUGGCCUUUAAUCUGAGAACUUGGGAGAUAGAAGUAGACAAAUCUCUGAGUCUGAGGCCAGCCUAUACAGUGAAUUCCAUGCUAGCCAGGGCUACAUAGUGAGAAACUGUCACAAUGAAUAAAUGAAUAGAUAAAUAAGCAAAUAUCUUCAUUUGCCAGGUAUGGUGGCACAUACUUACAAUCCUAGCACUUGGGAAUCACAGGCAGUUGGAUCUCUGUGAGUUCAAGGCCAGCCUGGUCUACAGAGUGAGUUACAGGACAGAUAGAGCUACAUGGUGAGGCCCUGCCUCAAGAAAAAUAAAUAAAUAAAUAAAUAAAGACAACCCCAGAACCAGAUUGAACCAGAAAGGGAGGGAGGACAGAGAGAGACAGAGACAGAGGCAGAGAGAGAUCAGUAAGCACCCGUCAUUCUUGAUUUCUGCUCCAAGUUCCUGCCUUAAGUUCUUGCCUAACUUCCCUCAGUUAUAGGCUUCAGCCUGAAAGUGUGACCUGAAAUGAAGACUUUCCUCCCCUAAGUAGCUUUUGGCCAGUGUUUUAUCACAGCACAGACAGCAAACUAGGACAGUAUGUGAGCUUUUUCUUUUUUAUUAAGAGAUUUUCUAUUCAUUUUACAUACCAACCACAGAUUCCCCCUCUCCUCCCUCCUCCCACCCCCCAGCCUUUCCCCUCAACCCACCCCCAUUCCCACCACCUCCAAGGCAAGGUCUCCCAUGGGGAGUCAGUAGAGCCUGGUACAUUCAGUUGAUGCAGGUCCAAGCCUCUCCUCCCUGCACCAAGGCUGCCCAAAGUGUCUUACCAUAGGCACUAGGCUCCAAAAAUCUGGCUCAUGCACUAGGGACAGGUCGCGUUCCCACUGCCUGGGGGCCCCCUAAACAGUUCAAGCUAAACAACUGUCUCGCUUAUCCAGAGGGCCUAGUCCAGUGUCAUGGGGGCUCCUCAGCUAUUGGUCCACAGUUCAUGUUUCCACUAGUUUAGCUAGUUGUCUCUGUACUUUUUCCAAUCAUGGUCUCGAUAGCUCUUGCUUAUAGCAUCCCUCCUCUCUCUUGUCGAUUGGACUCCUGGAGCUCUGUCUGGGACCCAGCCGUGGAUCUCUGCAUCUGCUUCCAUCAGUCACUGGAUGAAGGUUCUAUGAUGUCAGUUAGGGUAUUCAGCCAUCCCAUCACCAGAGUAGGUCAGCUCAGAGACCCUCUCGACAAUUGCCAGUUGUCUAUGAUGGAGUCAUCUUUGUGGAUUCCUGGGAACCUCCCUAGCACUCUGCUUCUCCUUAGUCUCAUGGUGUCUUCAUUUAUCAUGGUAUCUCUUUGCUUGUUCUCCCACUGUGUUCCUGAUCUAGCUCAGAAAAUUGGGAAUCAAUCUUCCUCAAUUCCUAGCUAUACCACUCUUGAGAAUAUACCCAAAGAAUGCUCAAUCAUACCACAAGGACACAUGCUCAACUAUGUUCAUAAGCAGCACUAACUGUAAUAGCCAGAACUGGAAACAACCUAGAUGCCCCUCAACUGAAGAAAGGAUAAAGAAAAUGUGGUACAUAUACACAAUGGAGUACUACUCAGCAGAGAAAAACAAUGACAUCAUGAGGUUUGCAGGCAAAUGGAUGGAACUAGAAAAUAUCAUCCUGAGCGAGGUAACCCAGACUCAGAAACACAAACACUACUCACUCAUAAGUAGAUACUAGAUGUAAAGCAAAGGAUAACCAGACUGCAACCCACAGCUCCAGGGAGACUAGCUUGUAAGUAGGACCCUAGGAAAGACACAGGGAUUGCCCAGCGAUGGAGAAAUGGAUGAGAUCUACAUGAGCAAACUGGGGGUGGAGGGUAAUGGAGGGCAAGAGACGGGUGAAUGAAGGCUUAGGGGAGUGGGAGGUCCAAGCUGGAUCAGGAUGUGAGCUUUUUAGAUGUAUGCAUGUAUGCAUAUGUAGCUCAGUGGUAGAGUACAUACCUACCAAGCACUGGAUCCUAGGUUCAAAAUCCUCUGUACUGGGGGAAAAUAUUCUGUAAACACCCACAUUAGUGACUUUUCAUGCUUUCACUAUUGAUUUGGACAGAAGCAUGUACCUUGACCAGGGAUAGACAGUUGGGCCCAUUGAGCAGGAUUUUGAGUGUGUGUGCAUGUGUGUGUGUGUGUGUGCAUGUGCGUGUGCUUGUGUGUGUGUGUGUGUGUGUGUGUGUGUGUGUGUGUGUGUGUGUGUGUGUGUACACGCACGCGCGGGCGCACGCACGUGUAAGACCACACUUCAGAGGCCUCUCUGACUGUGACCUGGCUUGUCCCCUGGACGUGAACACAGCUCCCUGAGGAUGACUUGAGAACUGAUGCCUGCUGCUGGGGGUUAAGCCUGAGCACACCUGGCACACAUCUCUUGGGCUGACUCAUCUGAGAAGCACACACAGUCUUCUCCUCCCACUGCAGGGUCACCAAGUGUCGACGUGAGAAUGAUCAGAGGCUCUGGGUCCCUCUCUGUUCCAGGUCAGGAGGGAAUCAUCCCAAUGCUAGUGCACAUCUGUCCAUGGUUUUUGUUUUGUUUUGUUUCUGAGGAGGGUUUUGCUGGGUAGGCCAGGCUGCCCUUAAACUGGAGAUCCUCAUGCCUCAGCCUCUGAAUGCUGGCCUUGGGUGUGAAUGCCACUACUCAACUCAAAGAAUUCUUAUGGAAGGAGGUCAGUGCAAUGACAUUCUCCACACUGUCAACAGUGGAUGAGUUAGCCCUAAUUCCAGAGUGCGGCACUGGCCCUUAGCCACUUCCCUGACUGACAGCUAAAGCCUCCCCUUCAUCCCCAAAGCUGCUUUCAUUCCUCCUCAGUUUCCUUUCCUUGCGUUGUGGGCUGAGAGAGGGGUGGAUACAGCAUGAAGCUGUCUUACCCACUGCUUUUUAGCAAAUGUCUGCGGAAUCUUUAAAGCAGUUUUUAUCAUAAUAAAAAUAUUUUAACUUAUAACCCCAGAAAGAGAUAGGCCUGGGAGUCUUUAUAAAGCACGGCAAUCCAGAUGAGCAUAAUUUGAAAGUAAUUUGAAUUGUAAUGAGGAUUUUUAAUGUAAACAGGCAGAAGGAGAAACUUGCUGGGUUCUGCCAUAGCACAUACACCCAAAUAUAUGUCUUUUGAUGGAAGUAUUAACGUGUCAAGGAAGCAAAAGAUGCUCCGGCAUUGAUGGUGUGAGCGGGAGCAGCAUCCUCUAUGGUGUCAAAUGAUGAAGAUGUCAGAGGGAAUGGAGGAUGGUCAGUGUGCUGGGUGGCCUGAUGUCAGUGCAGGCCAGGUCCUGUGGGGUGAGAAGGAGCAAGGCCUGGCCUGAGAACUGCUCUUUGCAGUUGCAGGGAGGGACAAAUAGCCGCUACAUAGUAGGCUAACAGUAGUUUUCAUCAACUUGCUCAAAAUAGCAAGCAGAAGGGAUUUUGAAUGUUCCCAACACAAGGAAGUGAUGUACGUCUGAGGUGAGGGGUCUGCCAGUUAUCCCAAUCUGGUCGUUACUCAUUCUGUACAUGCAUUGAAACACCGCACGUGCACUCCAUAAAUAUGCACGGUUGCUUUGUAUCAAUUAAAAUAAUAAUGCAUUAUUAAAAGGAAAGACUUACAGAAAGCUGAGCUGGAAGGGUUCCUGGGACUGUGGAGGAGAGCAUUCUAAGAGCACUAUCCUCUAAAAUCUCUACUUCAUUUUCCUCCUCUCGCUCAUCAUUUUUAUUUUCUGCUCCUUCUUCUUCAGUCCUGUGGGUUAAAGCCAGGGUCUGACACUCACUAGGCAAGCAUACCACCCCUGAGCUACACCAUAACCCUAUUUUAUUCUCAUUUUUAGGAUGCAAGAGCUUGCUAAGGUUUUGAAUCAAGUAUGUAGCCCAGGAGGGGAUCUUUCUUGCCAUUUUUUUAGCCUCAGUCCCCAAAGAAGCUGGGGCAACAGGCAUGUGCCCCCAUGUCCAGCUGACAUCUGAACUUCUGUCUAAUACAAUUGUUCAACUAAAGGAACUUGUUUGUCAUGAUGACACUGUAGACCUCUGAUCACUUUGCUUUGGAUAAAUGAAAACAGUAUUGAGCACUAAUUAACUACUUGUGCUUGCCUAUCACUCUGAGCUUCAGGUAUGCGCAUUUUUAUUGAGAAAGAUGAGUAAAAUGCAAGAAACAGGUGAAAAAUGUCCAGAAUUCAAACUGCAGCUUCCACCCUCAAUGUAACCACAGCAACAGAAAGAGAACUACAGCCUGGACUCGCAUCUCACAUGCGGCGAUCGGUCCUAUUUAAUGAGCAGCUCAUGCGUUACCUCAAGGCUUUUCAAUUACCUCUGUUAAUAAGCAGUCCAUACCAGUAGAGAGUGAUUCCCUCAUUCAACAGAUGGGAAGACUGAGGACUACAGAGAGUAGAGAGCCCUCUGGAGGCUCCCAUAGCACCCCAUAUCUCCCAGCAGAAUGCUUUCAGGUGGUUACCUCCUUUAUUUCUGCUGUCCACCCUGUGAACUCUUAAAUGAGAGCCUGGUCCUUAAUUACAGUGAGCCACUGAUGUUCUUGGAAGAAGAGGCAAUCUGAGGAUCCCAUCUCUGCAUGGAGCAGCCUGCUGGGACCUGGGACCCUUGCGAGGAGUGGGCAGACACAUUGAGUGGUGAUGGGCUUCCUAGAGAAGUCAUGUUUGUCUUCCAAAGGCAGACUAUUCAACUCAAAGCACAAUAUUUUUUUGGCUCAGCGUUCGGCUUUUGGAGUGGCAGCUGUUGCCACCAGAGCAAAUUCUGAAAAUGUGUAAUUCUCAGAAAUAAUCGCCAACCCUCAGAAAAGAUGUGUUUACACAGAAACUUGCCUGCAUUCAUCCUGAAACAGUUUUCUCUGAGGUCCCCUGCCUCCUCCCCAGCAACUGUUUCAGCUAUCAUGCAUCUACACAAGUGCCAAAGGAUCUCAACUAAGGUCUCGUCCCACAUACUCCUCCUCAGAUGGAGCCAUAUAAUUUCCUGUUAUUCGUCAUUCCUAAUAAUUUUUAGAAAAUCAAAUCUGUGAUCAGGCAGACAAGUAGCAUUCAAUUCCAUUGGCUCACUUAUGGUCAGCCAAAAAGUCCCAUUAGGCCCACGGCAGGUGGCCCAGGAAUGGGACCCUUUAAAAUAAAACCAUUAAACAUACAACUUCUAGAACCUUCUUCCGUUACCCAACUGGAAGUGUGAGGUCUCCUCUAUUUUACAUUAAAAAAAAAAGAUUUGUAGGCAUAUAUGGCCCAAGCUAGUGGGUCAAUAGGCAGGUUCCUUCGGACCAAUAUCCACCCUUCAUGUCAGUGAGUUCUCAACAUGUAGGUCAUGACCCCUUUGGGUGGUAGAAUAACCCCUUCAUGGGGGUCACAGAUCAGAUAUUCUGUAUAUCAGAAACUUACAGUAUGAUUCAUAACAGUAGCAAAAUUACAGUUAUGAAGUAGCAACGAAAGAACUUUAUGGUUGGAGUCACCAUACAUGAGGAAUUGUAUUAAAGGGCUGCAGUAUUAGGAAGGUUGAGAACCACUGGUCUAUGCAGGGAUCCAUCUGCCUACCAGGCAAUCAGUCAGUGGACUCUGUUUUGAGACAGGGCCUCAUCAUGUAGCCCAGGCUGUCCUGGAAUUCACUGUCUUCCUGCCUCAUUCUCUCAAGCACUGAAAUUAUAGCACAUGCUACCAAGCCAUGCACAAGGAACUCUUUACACCCAUUCUUGUGGGCCUGGCACUGCCAGGUGUCAGGAAGAUAGGAACGUACAGAACAAGGUCUUUUCCCUUGGUGUUCACACUGACUGAGGAGAAUAACUUGGAAGACACCCAAGGAGGAAGAGAAGUGGAGCUUGGGAACACAGAGCCGCAGCUGGUGCCCUUGGGAGUUGUUGUUGUAGGCAGUGAAUCCUUUGCACCUGUUGGGUGACAGAUCUGUCCUGUGUGGUAUGUUGGCUUCCUGUGUGUGCUGCACUGAAUUACCACAGAUCUGGUGACUUCAAAUUACGCACACUAAUUCUCUACAGUUCUAGAGGCCAGAGACUUAAAAUCACUACCCCCAGCAUCAACCGAGGUGUAGACUUGCCUUGGCCUCUGGGGGGAUCUCAGGGACAAUUUGUUCCCUGCCUCUCACAGUUUGUCAUGCUGUUAAAAACCCUGGAUUAGUGGCUUCAUCAUUCACUCUUCAAGGCCAGCAUCUUCAAAUCUCUCUGUCCUGCUUCAGUGGCGUCUCUUUUGUAUACCUGUGUGUGUGAAAUCUACCCCACCUUAGAAAAAUCCAGGGUGUAUUCAAACUCAUGAUCCUUGUGCCUCAGCAUCCCAAGUGUGAGGAUUAUGUGUCUCUACAGGAGAGGCUUGUGUCUCCCUCUUCUGUGGUCAUUUGUAGUCACGAGGCCCUACCAAACACUGUCUUUCUACCUCACAUCUUUGUGUUGUAAGGCUCCCUUAAUGACCUAAGAGGGGACCUAGAGUGACCUCUUUGCUUACAGAACGACAUUCACAGACUCUAAGUCCUUUGACCUGCUGCUGUCUUGUGGGCUGCUCUUCUGCCUGCCACGUGCGAUUCCUUUUGUCGUUGGCAAGAAGCUGGUCUUUUGAAUGUCCCCUUAGGUAUUCAUUGCGCUUCUCUCCCACUUUUUGGUCAUUUCCCCAGGACACGUGUCCUUCUUGCUAAGGAAGAGCCCCGGGGUCACAGACUGGGCUCCAGGGUAGUGUGCAGCCCACCUCCCCUGAUCAGCUGGAGGCUAUUGAGUUCAUCAUCACCUCAUACAUGCUCCAUGUGAGGCAGAUUCAUUCACCAAUGCCUGUGUUCUGUGACCAGAAAGAGGCUCUUGAGUCAAAUGGAUGCCUGGGGUCAGUGCCGAAACACAAAAGCGAUUAAGAGGACACAAAGAGGUCGGGGCAGGCCUGCUCCCACUGGCGAUUAACCCAGCAGAACCACAAGGAGACAGAAGGGCUGCCUAGUCCUGUUCCUACCCCCUCCCUAGUGUCUGACUCCUCUCUGCAGGAGACUACAGGGUCAUGGGGGCCACUGCAGAAAUCACACUGAUGUUUGUCCCGGGGGCUGUGAGCCCCCACCAGGAAGGACUUCUGCCUUGGAGUCAAGUAAAAUCAAGGCCUUGCCCUGAGAACCUGAUAAUCCCAGAAUUACAUUACCCUGGUAUGUUGAACAUUUCAUUAUCAAUGCAUACUCAUAACAAUCCAGAAACUGGCUUGCCUGUGGUCAUUUAAAGUUGGGCAUACUUGUAAUUUCAGUACUUGGGAGGCUGAGGGAGAGAGGGUUCCAGGAUAGCUCAGGCUACACAUUGAGACACUGUCUUAAACAAAGAUAUCCAUUUUACAGAGGAAAAAACAGAGGCCUAGAAUGCUGAUGAGACAGGAAGGAGAGAUGGAUGCCAGGAGACACAGCUGUGGGAACCCUGUCCAGGAAUUCCUCUACUGUGUUUACUAUGAUCCUGGUCAUGUGUACUGGGGAGAGAAAAGGUACUUUGCCACAGCAAAGGAAACAUGACUAAUACUCAGUUCUAGAGGUCCAAAGCCUGAAAUCAAGAUGUCACCAGGGCUCCACUUCCUCCAAAGAUAUGGUGGACAAUCUCUUCACUUAUCCUGAUGGCACAAGCAUCCCUUGGUUUGUGGAUGGAUGACUUCAGUCUCUUAGCAUCUUCACAUUGUCUUGUCUCUCAUAAGAAGGUCUGUGAUUGGCCCACCUGGUUUUAUUUGGGAUUUGUUCAAUUAGUUCUAUCUAUAAAGCUCUCCUUUCCAAAUACUGACUCUUUUCACAAAUUUUGAGGCCUAGUAUAUUUAUUUUGCAGGGGAUUAGCACAGAGCUCACUAGAGGGAGGUUGUCUGAUUUUCCUCUACACACAGCAAGCUGUGUUGGGAUGAAUGUAGAACCGGUCCAAGUGUGACCGCCAUGUUUUCUGAACACGACAGGUUCAUACGGAAGGAUGUAGGAUUAAGGGUGGUGUAGAAGAGGAAGAAAGAGCCUUCCCACUCAGCGUAUUCCAUCUUGCUUUGGAGAAUACAGGUGUCAUUAUUUUAAUCCUGGAUCUCUGACUUUUAAGGAGAAGCCAGCAUGGGGAUUGUGGGCAUUCCUCCCCAAGCUGUCCUUCGGUUCCCACAUAUCGCCCCAUGACCCGUUGUUUGCUGUCUUAAGAAAUGUACAGAUGGUAGUGGGCAUGCUGCCAGAACUCUGGGUUCUGAAGGGAGUCACCAAUGGUGACGGGAUUAGCUGCUCUGGGAGGGUAUUCUCUUCAGGGAUGAUCAGAGGUAAGGGUUGAGAGAAGGGAGUGGAGCUCUGGCCCUCAGCUGGCAUUAGGAAGGACAUACUCUUUCUGGCAGUCCUGCAGGUGUCAGCCUGGUGACCCUUGAAGUGCUGAGGGGAUGAGGACCCAGGAAGCCCACCCCCACUGUUUUCAUUUCCCCAGAACUCCAUGGCUGAUUUUGUGGAUGCUGUGCUCUGUCAACCCAGACACCCCAGUCCCUCUGCAGAACCCACUGGGCUUCCAUUCCCUGCUUCUUUGCCUGCUUCUAUUUGAUACACAGAGUCCAGGAAGAACCUCCUCCUCAAGACGUUCCCCACCGACUGCCCCAAACUGCUCCUUCCUCUCUCCCCACUCCCGCCCUUGCUGUCGACUCUCACCCCUUCUGCUUGGUUCAUAAACUAAGAAAAUGCACUUUUCUACCCAACCUGGAGCGAAUCUGUAAGUGACAUAGAAAGUUCAGUUCAACACUAGCGAAAAUUGAAUUUAUCUUGGAAAUGCUUUAUUCUUCCAAAAGCUCACUUUGGCAAAGUCUAAUGUAUAGAAAAGCAUGAAAUACGGUGCCUCCAGACGCAGCAACUUCUUCAGCUACACAUUAAGCCGCAGGGUCCGAAUCCAGCUUCGCUGUCGUCAACCACUCUCUUUAACUCAAAUGCCCGUCAAUGUCCCUGCUAAAUGGGAGUCUUGUGUGCAUCGCAUCUUAUCAUAAUGUCACAAAACCCAUAGAAUUACAAAUCAGGUUUAAGGCGGAAAACAUGACAGGGAAAUAAAAGUACACAAAAAGUACAUUAAGUAUCAGUCUUCAUUUAUUCUCCCCAUUCCAGCCUACCUCUCAGCUCAGCCCCACGCUGCACGCAGCUCAGCUUGAGGUAGCCUAAGAUCCAUUUUAGAGUGGACUGAAAUAUAAAUGACAGUUCGCUCUGCACAUGAACAUAGACAACUGUAUAAAAUAUUUAAAUAAAGACAGGAAAGAACAGAGGAUUGCCACGAAGCCUUUGGCAGACUCAGCCUUGGGGGAAUUUAGCAGCUUGAGAUUCAUUACAAAUUUCGUCUUUAAUGUUAUUUUUAGUUCAAUAUUUUGUAGCACUCAGAAGUAAAUCUUGGUGUGCUGUCUCCUCUUCCCCUGGCUUCCUCUUCUUUGGUGUCUGAUCCUUCAGUUUUACUGAACCCUAAUACGGUUUCAAUAAAAUUGAUUUGUGACGUCGUAAUGCUGUUUGUUACGGGCUCCUCUUUCUUGAUGUAAUGGGGGGAGGUCUGUUGUAUGAUUCGGCAGAGUGAGGAGGAUCGCUCUUGAUUGGAGAAUAAAUUGUCAUGAACCAAGAAACAGCCUGCUUCAAUGUGAACUCUCCAUCUCUCUGUCCCUCCUGCGG